UACAGAGGUCUCGAGCGUUGUUCGGAUUCAUUGGGCGUAAAGGGUGCGUAGGCGGCGCGGUAAGUCGGGUGUGAAAUCUCGGAGCUUAACUCCGAAACUGCAUUCGAUACUGCCGUGCUUGAGGACUGGAGAGGAGACUGGAAUUUACGAUGUAGCGGUGAAAUGCGUAGAUAUCGUAAGGAAGACCAGUGGCGAAGGCGGGUCUCUGGACAGUUCCUGACGCUGAGGGCACGAAGGUCAGGG
rnacentral:rRNA from 1 species